rnacentral:lncRNA from 1 species
UAAAAUUUGGGGUGUUACAUUACUACCCCUCUUAAAAAAAAUUUCGUCCUCGAAAUUUGUAAUGAAAGAAAUAUAUGACAACUAUCUUAUAGUUAGAGAAAUUUAGUAACUUCGAAUUAUAUAAUUAAGAGCAUAUGUACAUAAUCUCCUUACCCAAAAAUAAUAAUAAUAAAGAUAGAUACUUCUCUAAGAAUUCAUUUGAUAAAUAUAAUAGACUUAACUUUUAAUAUAUCAUGUUCCUAUGAUUUUCUAUAGCCUUGCUAAAGUUACAAUCAAAACUUAAAAAUUUCUUUUAUACACAUUUAAAAUCUAAACU